ensembl:rRNA 5S_rRNA 5S ribosomal RNA
GUCUAUGGUCCUACCACCCUGAACACACCUGAUAUCAUCUCAUCUCUGAAGCUAAGGAGGGCAAGCUUAGUACCUGGAUGGGAGAAUUUGUGUAUAUCUGUAGUGU